UCCCUGUUCAUUGCAGGGGAGUAGGACAAGUUGACCUUUGGUGUACCUUCCAGCUCAAACUCUUGUCUGAUUCCCAGAAGAGCUCUUCCCUCCUCUCCCUCUGUGGCCAAUCUUCUUGCACCCUCACUAUGCCAGUAAUUAGACAGCAGGCUAUAAAACUGCUCAUGGCAGGGCUCUUGGCUGCCUUGCUGCAUGCAGCUCUCAAUGGGAAUUACGCUCAUGGUAAUAAUAAUUAUUAUUAUUACAGUGGCAUCUCGAGAGCACGGGCACUGUGGCAGGCAUUUUGCAGACACAUAGGAAAAUAUAAGUCUUUCCUUAAAGACCUUGCAACUGCAGGCAAGAUUCAACAAGCAGGAUGCAAAAUUAGAAAUAUAGGUUCAUGCUGUGGAUGAGUGGCCAACCUGACCCCCACCGCAUGCCCUGUGAAGCUGAUAAAUGGAAAUGCCUUCCAUAAAAAGUCAUUCAGUGUUUUAAAAUCUGAGGCCAACACCAGUUGCAGCUUUUGCUUAUUUAUUUUGCUCAGCGAUAACUUUGUGACAGGCUUUGCAGGCCCGUCUGCACAGCAUCACAGAGCUCCAUCCCAGUCAUGUCUCCCAUGACAUCCCAACAUGUCUCCCACGUGCAGGGAGACAGCAACAUUUCUGAAGUCACUGCUUCAUACAGACUGGUGAAUGCUGUCUGCGGGGUCAAACGUUUUUGAGUCACAAUAAAGAGAGGGAGAUGCAUUUAACAGAAAAUGCACAAACUUUAUGUACAACUGUUUGUUGAUAGGGUAUUGAUGCCUUUCUCUUCUUGUUAUUUUUCCCCAUAGGUGAUGCUGCUAAGAGUACUUCAUACACAGGUAGAAUGUGAGUUUAUGUGGGUUUUGACACUAGCAAAAUAUUCCAGCCUGGAUAGGCAUCAGCUCAUGUAUCUGUAGGUAGUUGAGGGAAGAGCGACCACUUUUAGGACAAUGCUCAUUCACACAAUGAUUGCCCUUGGGGAAGAUGUUGCAGCCAUGUGACAGACACGACACUGUGAUGAUGCUGUGCCCAACACAGCGGGGUUUGGGGGCAGAGAUAAGGAGCCCAGCCUGCUGCCAGAUGUGCCGAGCUGGAGGGAGCACAGCACUGCAGAAUCACAGAGCACAGAAAUGAGCUGAGCUUAGCAUGCCAGCAUCCUCUCACACACACACGAGAGCUGUGUGGAAUCGCAGUCCUGACAAAGCCUGACUUCUCCGAUUCAGAGGAAAUGAAAAGGACUUUGUGACUGCUGUGACCGCUGAUAGAGGGUUGGUGUGCCCAGGGGACAGCCAGCCAAGGGAGAGGGAGGAGCGCUGGAAGAUUUGGCUUCAGUGAACAGUUCCUUAAAUUCAAUGAGUCAUGAUUUUCUUUCGGCGCACGCGGCCCUCUGUGUAUAAACUCCAGCCCAGAGAGAAAAAUAUCCCCUGGUCAUUGGUGAGAGCGGGCAAUGGUUUCCUAAGGAUUAAUUCCUCCUAACAGAUAUGGUCUGCAUUCCUUUGGAAGAUGCCCUCCCACAGGCCCUCUCUCACAGAGCCACACUAAAAAUAGAGCUGAGUGCUUCCUGAUGGCACCGCUGUGUUUCUCUGGAAAGGCAGGUGUUGUUUCUCUGGAAAGUUUUAUUUCUCCAUUUAAAAAAUGUCGUUUUGGAAAUGGGAGUACGUCCCUGGAUUUGUAUCACCUGGCUUUUUCUGAACGACUCCUCUUGUCUCUUCUCCAAGAAAAAGACACAGGAUGGAGGAGCGCUCCCAGUCCCUGUGGGAGAGCUGGAGGGUGCUGCUGAUGCCAAUGGGGAACUGAAACUACAGCCCUGGAGAGGAAACAAGAUCAUCGCUGCUGCUCCCUUCGCACUCCUGACUUUGUUUGCUUUGUGUGACUGGUUUCUGGCUGAAUAAAACAAAAUCUCCUGGCCCUCUGAGAUGAGGAAAAUCAUCCGGUGACAAAAGGAAGUUCUGAGGGGUUUGAGAUGUGUCCCUCUCCUGGGAAAGAGAAAGGAUGCCCCCGUGGUACCUGAUAUAACUGGGACUUGCAAAGCUCUGUCUGCUAGUUUAUAAACAUACCCUCAUUAAAGCAUUUUAAUU
ensembl:lncRNA